ACCCGGGUCUCCGGUUCGGGUCGGGUCGUGACGAACAGAGUGAGUUGAUCCGGGUUUUUCUUUGCCCUGAUUCGCUUCUCCUUCGUCGUCUUCACUCUUCUUCACGAAGUAACGAACAUUGUCUCUCACUCUCACGAAGACAAAGACGCACACGAGCACGAACGGAGAACUCUUCCUGUCGUCUCUCUCAGACUCUUCUACUCGAACCCUCCAUCUCUGCUGCGACUUGAGUGUUCCGUUUGCUUUCUUGAUUAUGAUUUAUGGCAGAGCUGGCAACUGAGAAACAUGUUCGCUACAUAUUAUCAGUUGAAAAGAGGAAAGAUAAUUUUGAAUCUGUGGUAAUGGAGCAUCUGAGAAUGAGUGGGGCAUACUGGGGAUUGACUGCUUUGGAUCUUCUGGGAAAGCUUGAUAUUGUUGAUGUUGAUGAGGUUACUUCAUGGUUGCUCAGUUGUCAACAUGAGUCAGGUGGAUUUGGUGGAAAUGUUGGUCAUGACCCGCACAUCCUGUAUACACUAAGUGCCGUGCAGGUGUUGGCUCUCUUUGAUAAGAUGGACGUUAUUGAUGUAGAUAAGGUGACAAAUUAUAUUGUCAGCCUGCAAAAUGAAGAUGGAUCCUUUUCAGGGGAUAUGUGGGGUGAAGUUGAUACGCGGUUCUCAUAUAUUGCUAUUUGUUGCUUAUCAAUAUUACAUCGCUUGGAUAAAAUAAAUGUGGAGAAAGCUGUGAAGUACAUUAUAAGUUGCAAAAAUAUGGAUGGUGGUUUUGGUUGCACCCCUGGUGGGGAAUCUCAUGCUGGUCAAAUUUUUUGUUGUGUGGGAGCCCUUGCCAUAACGGGGUCACUAGAUCUUGUUGACAAGGACCUACUAGGUUGGUGGUUAUGUGAGCGACAGGUUAAAUCUGGAGGUCUGAAUGGGCGUCCUGAGAAACUUCCUGAUAUCAUCUCAGGUCUGCUACUCGUGGUGGGUUCUUUCUAGCCUGACCAUGAUUGAUAGAGUUCAUUGGAUCAGUAAGGAGAAGCUUAUAAGGUUUAUCAUAGACUGCCAGGACACAGAAAAUGGUGGGAUUUCAGACAGGCCAGAUGAUGCCGUGGAUGUAUUUCACACAUUCUUUGGGGUUGCAGGACUUUCUCUUCUUGAAUAUCCAGGAGUGAAACCGAUAGAUCCAGCUUAUGCCUUGCCUGUUGAUGUUGUAAAUCGGAUUUUCUUUUCGAAAUAAGAGUGAAGUAGUUCAGUUCGUUCAUAAACUACCCAGUAAUCACUCACUCUUGGAGUUAGAUUUACCACCCUCGGCGCAAACACAGUUGAUUAUUUCCUAAAAAUGUUUACAAUUUUUUUUAGCUUCUUCAAUUAAAUUGCUAUGAUACGAGAAGGAUUGUUCA